AUUCAACCUUCCACAAGUUGGCCAGAUAAACCAUCUUUUGAUCAUCCAGGGAGAAAAAAAAAUGGGGGCUCUCACCGUUCCAUGUGCAUUGGAGCAUGCCUUGAGUAACAGUGGCAGAGAGAGAUGAAAAAGACUGAUCAGAACAUGUAAAGUUUGCACUUGACACAAAAGUAAACCUUUCAUGCAGAGUCUCAGAUUUAUAUUUAUGGUUUCCUGGAACUGAUGCUUCCUUGUAUAGGUUGUUUGAUGAACAAUUACUCAACACACUUGGAGAGUUCAUGUAAUCAUAACAUGUAGAUCCGUCAACAUCACUGAAACUCAUUUUCUCAAAAUUGGCAUCACCAUCAUAUGCACCAUAUUUGUGAAACAACGGGCUGUUAAGUAUAUUUGCCAUACUAUUACUACCCAUGACAGAACCAACAAUACAGUGUCCUGCUGGACCAAUAACCACACUCUCAUUCCCAGGUGCCAAUGGAUAGUCAAAAUGAAACCUAGGGAAAUCACAUGUAUUUCCACUCUUAAUUUUAGCUGGACUCAAGCCAUCA
rnacentral:misc_RNA from 1 species